rnacentral:rRNA from 1 species
GAUGAACGCUGGCGGCGUGCUUAACACAUGCAAGUCGAACGGGAUCCAUCAGGCUUGCUUGGUGGUGAGAGUGGCGAACGGGUGAGUAAUGCGUGACCGACCUGCCCCAUACACCGGAAUAGCUCCUGGAAACGGGUGGUAAUGCCGGAUGCUCCAGUUGAUCGCAUGGUCUUCUGGGAAAGCUUUCGCGGUAUGGGAUGGGGUCGCGUCCUAUCAGCUUGACGGCGGGGUAACGGCCCACCGUGGCUUCGACGGGUAGCCGGCCUGAGAGGGCGACCGGCCACAUUGGGACUGAGAUACGGCCCAGACUCCUACGGGAGGCAGCAGUGGGGAAUAUUGCACAAUGGGCGCAAGCCUGAUGCAGCGACGCCGCGUGAGGGAUGGAGGCCUUCGGGUUGUAAACCUCUUUUAUCGGGGAGCAAGCGAGAGUGAGU